CAAAUUAGAGCUUGAGUAUUAAGUGUUUCAUUUACAUUGAAAAGAUAUUAAAAUUUUAAUUAAUUUGA
rnacentral:tRNA from 1 species